rnacentral:rRNA from 1 species
GUCGAGCGCCCUGCUUGCAGGGAGCGGCAGACGGAGUAACGCGUGGGAACGUACCUUUCGGUUUGGAAUAGCCCCGGGAAACUGGGUGUAAUACCAAAUAAGCCCUUAGGGGGAAAGAUUUAUCGCCGAUAGAUCGGCCCGCGUUAGAUUAGCUAGUUGGUGAGGUAAAAGCUCACCAAGGCGACGAUCUAUAGCUGGUCUGAGAGGAUGAUCAGCCACACUGGGACUGAGACACGGCCCAGACUCCUACGGGAGGCAGCAGUGAGGAAUCUUGGACAAUGGGCGAAAGCCUGAUCCAGCCAUGCCGCGUGAAUGAUGAAGGCCUUAGGGUUGUAAAAUUCUUUCAGCAGGGAAGAUAAUGACGGUACCUGCAAAAGAAGCCCCGGCUAACUCCGUGCCAGCAGCCGCGGUAAUACGGAGGGGGCUAGCGUUGUUCGGAAUUACUGGGCGUAAAGCGCUCGUAGGCGGACUGAUAAGUCAGAGGUGAAAGCCCAGGGCUCAACCUUGGAACUGCCUUUGAAACUGUCAGUCUAGAGUUCGGGAGAGGUGAGCGGAAUUCCGAGUGUAGAGGUGAAAUUCGUAGAUAUUCGGAGGAACACCAGAGGCGAAGGCGGCUCACUGGACCGAUACUGAC